UGCAGUCGAACGAUGAAGCCCAGCUUGCUGGGUGGAUUAGUGGCGAACGGGUGAGUAACACGUGAGUAACCUGCCCUUGACUCUAGGAUAAGCCCGGGAAACUGGGUCUAAUACUGGAUAGGAACGUCUACCGCAUGGUGGGUGUUGGAAAGAAUUUCGGUCAUGGAUGGACUCGCGGCCUAUCAGCUUGUUUGUGAGGUAAUGGCUCACCCUAGCGACGACGGGUAGCCGGCCUGAGAGGGUGACCGGCCACACUGGGACUGAGACACGGCCCAGACUCCUACGGGAGGCAGCAGUGGGGAAUAUUGCACAAUGGGCGAAAGCCUGAUGCAGCGACGCCGCGUGAGGGAUGACGGCCUUCGGGUUGUAAACCUCUUUCAGUAGGGAAGAAGCGAAAGUGACGGUACCUGCAGAAGAAGCACCGGCUAACUACGUGCCAGCAGCCGCGGUAAUACGUAGGGUGCGAGCGUUAUCCGGAAUUAUUGGGCGUAAAGAGCUCGUAGGCGGUUUGUCGCGUCUGUCGUGAAAGUCCGGGGCUUAACCCCGGAUCUGCGGUGGGUACGGGCAGACUAGAGUGCAGUAGGGGAGACUGGAAUUCCUGGUGUAGCGGUGGAAUGCGCAGAUAUCAGGAGGAACACCGAUGGCGAAGGCAGGUCUCUGGGCUGUAACUGACGCUGAGGAGCGAAAGCAUGGGGAGCGAACAGGAUUAGAUACCCUGGUAGUCCAUGCCGUAAACGUUGGGCACUAGGUGUGGGGAACAUUCCACGUUUUCCGCGCCGCAGCUAACGCAUUAAGUGCCCCGCCUGGGGAGUACGGCCGCCAGGCUAAAC
rnacentral:rRNA from 1 species